ACAUUACAUCCAAAGAUCUUCAACUGAAAAUUAAAAUAUACCGUGCCAGUAUUUUUUCUGUUUGUAAGAUUUGAAUGCAAGAGAAUGAAGACUUUCACGCUUUCUCUGGCCUGCAAAUUCUAAUUUCACAGCUGGAUUUCACUUCCAUUUCAACAGAGAUGUC